rnacentral:rRNA from 1 species
AUUGAACGCUGGCGGCAUGCUUUACACAUGCGAGUCGAACGGUAACAGGCCUUCGGGUGCUGACGAGUGGCGAACGGGUGAGUAAUGCAUCGGAACGUACCCAGAGGUGGGGGAUAACGCAGCGAAAGCUGUGCUAAUACCGCAUGUGAUCUGAGGAUGAAAGCGGGGGACCGAGCAGCAAUGUUUGGCCUCGCGCCUUUGGAGCGGCCGAUGUCGGAUUAGCUAGUUGGUGGGGUAAAGGCCUACCAAGGCGACGAUCCGUAGCUGGUCUGAGAGGACGACCAGCCACACUGGGACUGAGGCACGGCCCAGACUCCUACGGGAGGCAGCAGUGGGGAAUUUUGGACAAUGGGCGCAAGCCUGAUCCAGCAAUGCCGCGUGCGGGAAGAAGGCCUUCGGGUUGUAAACCGCUUUUGGCAGGAACGAAACGGUGUCCGCUAAUACCGGGCGCUAAUGACGGUACCUGCAGAAUAAGCACCGGCUAACUACGUG